rnacentral:rRNA from 1 species
GGGCCGCGGUAUACCUGACCGUGCGAAGGUAGCAUAAUAAUUUGUCUUUUAAUUGAAGGCUCGUAUGAAUGGUCGGACAAGAAGAAGGCUGUCUUAUUAAUGAAAGCUGAAUUUUACUUUUAAGUGAGAAGGCUUAAAUAAACCAAGGGGACGAUGAGACCCUAUAAAACUUUACAAGAUCUUAGGUUGUCCUGUGAAUUAGAGGUAUAAAACAGGUAUAGCUUGAGUAUUGUUUUGUUGGGGCGACAGGAAUAAAAAAGGUAACUGUUCUUGAAAUGAAAUGGUUAUGACCAGGUAGAUGAUCUUUUUUUAAGGAUUAAAAGAGUAAGUUACUUUAGGGAUAACAGCGUUAUUUCCCCUGAGAGGUCUUAUCGACGGGGUAAGUUGCGACCUCGAUGUUGAAUUAAGGUUUCACCCAGACG